UAGUUUUCUCAGACUAAAUAUUAAGGUCACUAUUAUAUCCAUGAUAGGCCAUAAUCAUAUACGAACUACUUUUUUCGUUGGCAAAGAAAUAUACCAACUAUUAUUAUCCAUUGGCAGGGUCACAUACCAACUACUAUUAUCCAUUGACAGGAACAUAUGUCAAUUACUAUUUUUUAUUGGAAGAAUCAUAUGUUAAUUACUAUUAUCCAUUGGCA
rnacentral:lncRNA from 1 species